CUUUUACCUUAAUAACUCUAAUACACUCAUCUCUUCACACCGUAAUAACUGAGCAGACUGAAGCCUACACGUGACAAAAUAAACGACCAUACCUUACAGGUGUCAGGUGUUAUCAGUGUCUGCUUGUGUGAUGAAGACUUGACAUUGAUGAAGAGAGAAAGCAGCUUAGCCCUGCAGCACUCGGCUGUCCACUCCACUCACAUCUUCAUCACUGAGUUGAGACGCUCCAUGAGGAAGAGGAGGAGCACAUCUGAGUGCGAGGAAGCUCAGAAGGAGUCAGGUAGACUCAGCUGCUGCAGGACCAUCAUGAUUCAGCCUGGUUUUCCUCAUCAGAGCGUUGUUAUUUAGACAUCUGCUGAAACCGGCCAACACACAGAUUCUCCAGGACAGGAGGUCUGGAGUACCUUGGAAUGCUGGGUAUCCGCGCUCCAGAGGUAUGGACAGGCUCCAGCACAGAAGUUAGCCUCGUAGCCUUUUGGCUCGUGGAUCCACCUCCAGCCCAGGUCCUUCUUAAAGUCGAUAUAGAGAGACCGUAAG